GGAGAGGCUGUGGUUCAGUGGAGGAGCAUCUGUUUAGCAUGCAGAAGAUUCCAGGUUCAUUCACUGGCAUUUCCA
rnacentral:tRNA from 1 species